GCUGGGAUGUAGCUCAGCGGUAGAGCACUUGCCUAGCUUAUGCAAGGUCCUGGAUUCAACCCCCAAUCCUGCA
rnacentral:tRNA from 1 species